rnacentral:misc_RNA from 1 species
GGAAGUAAAGGUCGUAACAAGGUUUCCGUAGGUGAACCUGCGGAAGGAUCAUUAAAGUUAUAGUCCCCCGGCCCUCUGGGCUGGGGUCUUCUAUACCACCCUUUGUUUAUUACACCUUUGUUGCUUUGGCAGGCCUGCCCUCGGGCUGCUGGCUCCGGCCGGCUCGCGUCUGCCAGAGGACCUAAACUCUGUUUGUAUAUGAAGUCUGAGUACUAUAUAAUAGUUAAAACUUUCAACAACGGAUCUCUUGGUUCUG